UACGGAGGGAGCUAGCGUUGUCCGGAUUCAUUGGGCGUAAAGCGCUUAAGGCGGUUCGCUAAGUCGGGUGUGAAACCUCCAGGCUCAACCUGGAGACGCCACUCGAUACUGGCGUGACUAGAGUCCGGUAGGGACCACGGAAUUCCUGGUGUAGCGGUGAAAUGACGCAGAUAUCAGGAGGAACACCAGUGGCGAAGGCGGUGGUCUGGGCCGGAACUGACGCUGUAGAGCGAAAGCGUGGGGAGCGAACAGGA
rnacentral:rRNA from 1 species